rnacentral:sRNA from 1 species
UUGAGCACUGUCUAUAUCAGUCGCAUAAAUUCCUCUCCGCCUUUGACCACGGAUGUACUGGCAGUGGCGUCGAGGGGAGUUGAGAAGGUCGGGAACUCCCCGGCCUUUUUUGUU